GAUGAACGCUAGCGGCAGGCUUAACACAUGCAAGUCGAGGGGUAUAGUUCUUCGGAACUAGAGACCGGCGCACGGGUGCGUAACGCGUAUGCAAUCUACCUUUUGCAGAGGGAUAGCCCAGAGAGAUUCGGAUUAAUACCUCAUGGUAUGUGAGAAUGGCAUCAUUUUCACAUUAAAGUCACAACGGCAAAAGAUGAGCAUGCGUCCCAUUAGCUUGUUGGUAAGGUAACGGCUUACCAAGGCAACGAUGGGUAGGGGUACUGAGAGGGAGAUCCCCCACACUGGUACUAAGACACGGACCAGACUCCUACGGGAGGCAGCAGUGAGGAAUAUUGGACAAUGGGCGCAAGCCUGAUCCAGCCAUGCCGCGUGCAGGAUGACGGUCCUAUGGAUUGUAAACUGCUUUUGUACAGGAAGAAACACUGGUUCGUGAACCAGCUUGACGGUACUGUAAGAAUAAGGAUCGGCUAACUCCGUGCCAGCAGCCGCAGUAACAC
rnacentral:rRNA from 1 species